rnacentral:siRNA from 1 species
UCGAACUACUAAAGCCCGCCUCGA